rnacentral:rRNA from 1 species
AUUGAACGCUGUCGGAAUGCUUUACACAUGCAAGUCGAACGGCAGCACGGACUUCGGUCUGGUGGCGAGUGGCGAACGGGCGAGUAAUGUAUCGGAACGUGCCCAGUCGUGGGGGAUAACGUAGUGAAAAUUACGCUAAUACCGCAUACGAUCUAUGGAUGAAAGCGGGGGAUCGCAAGACCUCGCGCGAUUGGAGCGGCCGAUAUCAGAUUAGGUAGUUGGUGGGGUAAAGGCCCACCAAGCCAACGAUCUGUAGCUGGUCUGAGAGGACGACCAGCCAGACUGGAACUGAGACACGGUCCAGACUCCUACGGGAGGCAGCAGUGGGGAAUUUUGGACAAUGGGCGAAAGCCUGAUCCAGCCAUUCCGCGUGCAGGAUGAAGGCCCUCGGGUUGUAAACUGCUUUUGUACGGAACGAAAAGGUUUCUACUAAUACUAGGAGCUCAUGACGGUACUGUAAGAAUAAGCACCGGCUAACUACGUGCCAGCCGCCGCCGUAA